rnacentral:rRNA from 2 species
UCCGUAGGUGAACCUGCGGAAGGAUCAUUACCGAGUUGAUUCGAGCUCCGGCUCGACUCUCCCACCCAAUGUGUACCUACCUCUGUUGCUUUGGCGGGCCGCGGUCCUCCGCACCGGCGCCCUUCGGGGGGCUGGCCAGCGCCCGCCAGAGGACCAUAAAACUCCAGUCAGUGAACUUCGCAGUCUGAAAAACAAGUUAAUAAACUAAAACUUUCAACAACGGAUCUCUUGGUUCUGGCAUCGAUGAAGAACGCAGCGAAAUGCGAUAAGUAAUGUGAAUUGCAGAAUUCAGUGAAUCAUCGAAUCUUUGAACGCACAUUGCGCCCCUUGGUAUUCCGAGGGGCAUGCCUGUUCGAGCGUCAUUUCAACCCUCAAGCUCUGCUUGGUAUUGGGCUUCGUCCUCCACGGACGCGCCUUAAAGACCUCGGCGGUGGCGUCUUGCCUCAAGCGUAGUAGAAAACACCUCGCUUUGGAGCGCACGGCGUCGCCCGCCGGACGAACCUUUGAAUUAUUUCUCAAGGUUGACCUCGGAUCAGGUAGGGAUACCCGCUGAACUUAAGCAUAUCAAUAAGCGGAGGA